UAGCCCUACUUUACGGAAACACAUUAGGCAU
rnacentral:piRNA from 1 species